GACGAACGCUGGCGGCGUGCUUUACACAUGCAAGUCGAACGGAAAGGCCCUGCUUGCAGGGUACUCGAGUGGCGAACGGGUGAGUAACACGUGGGUGAUCUGCCCUGCACUUCGGGAUAAGCCUGGGAAACUGGGUCUAAUACCGGAUAGGAGCCAUUUUUAGUGUGAUGGUAGGAAAGUUUUUUCGGUGUAGGAUGAGCUCGCGGCCUAUCAGCUUGUUGGUGGGGUAAUGGCCUACCAAGGCGGCGACGGGUAGCCGGCCUGAGAGGGUGGACGGCCACAUUGGGACUGAGAUACGGCCCAGACUCCUACGGGAGGCAGCAGUGGGGAAUAUUGCACAAUGGGCGCAAGCCUGAUGCAGCGACGCCGCGUGGGGGAUGACGGCCUUCGGGUUGUAAACUCCUUUCGCUAGGGACGAAGCUUUUUGUGACGGUACCUAGAUAAGAAGCACCGGCUAACUACGUG
rnacentral:rRNA from 1 species